UUUUUUUUUUUUUUUUUUUUUUUUUUUUUUUUCUC
rnacentral:ribozyme from 13 species